UGGAAGACAAGUGCUUCCCUGAUGAGCUGU
rnacentral:piRNA from 1 species